rnacentral:rRNA from 1 species
UUGACCUCAAAUCAGGUAGGACUACCCGCUGAACUUAAGCAUAUCAAUAAGCGGAGGAAAAGAAACUAACAAGGAUUCCCCUAGUAACUGCGAGUGAAGCGGGAAAAGCUCAAAUUUGAAAUCUGACGGUUCUUGAUCGUCCGAGUUGUAAUCUAGAGAAGUGUUACCUGUGCUGGACCGUGUUCAAGUCUCCUGGAAUGGAGCAUCAUAGAGGGUGAGAAUCCCGUCUUUGACACGGACUGCCUGUACGCCGUGGUGCGCUCUCAAAGAGUCGAGUUGUUUGGGAAUGCAGCUCAAAAUGGGUGGUAAAUGCCAUCUAAAGCUAAAUAUUGGCGAGAGACCGAUAGCGAACAAGUACCGUGAGGGAAAGAUGAAAAGUACUUUGGAAAGAGAGUUAAACAGUACGUGAAAUUGCUGAAAGGGAAACGCUUGAAGUCAGUCGUGUCGGCCAGAAAUCAGCCUUGCUUUUGCCUGGUGUACUUUCUGGUUUGAUGGGUCAGCAUCAAUUUUGGCCAUCAGACAAAGUCUUUGGGAAUGUGGCAUCUUUGGAUGUGUUAUAGCCCAUUGUCGCAUACGGUGGUUGGGAUUGAGGAAUUCAGCACGCCUCGCAAGGGGCCGGGUAUUUAUACCAC